UACGAAGGGGGCUAGCGUUGUUCGGAUUUACUGGGCGUAAAGCGCACGUAGGCGGAUCGUUAAGUCGGGGGUGAAAUCCUGGAGCUCAACUCCGGAACUGCCUUUGAUACUGCGGGUCUUGAGUCCGAUAGAGGUGGGUGGAAUUCCUAGUGUAGAGGUGAAAUUCGUAGAUAUUAGGAAGAACACCGGUGGCGAAGGCGGCCCACUGGAUCGGUACUGACGCUGAGGUGCGAAAGCGUGGGGAGCAAACAGG
rnacentral:rRNA from 1 species